rnacentral:lncRNA from 7 species
CAGCAGCAGCUACAGGAAGGUUCAGCACACCCACAGCUCCCAGAGCUGGUGGAGAAGAUCAUAGGAACUAUCCCAUGUCCUUGGGUGAGCAGCAGAUGACUGGGAGAGGAGUACCAAAACCAUCACAGUGUGCUCCAUUGUGGGUUUGGUGUCUGCUGAGACGUGGUAAGCUGUAUGGACAAAUUGUGCUAACCUGUUUUCUUUUAACUAUCCUAAUCUCUUUUUUAUCCCCUUUAUACAUCUGGUUUCCAUAAGGUAACAGCUGCUGUGCAUUUCAUCAUUUAAUUAAGCACAGUGUGGGAAAAGGUUUUUCUGUUCAUGGCAUUAAAAAUGAAUUGUUCUGGGUGAUGUGUAUGUUUGGGAAUAUUUCUGUAUAACCACUAAUGAAUUAUUAAGACUGAUAUUAGUGUCAAUGUGAUUUAAAAGCUAAAACAUUGUAUCAGCAGUUUAUGUACUGCAGGCACUAACAAAUAUUUUAAAGGGUUCUACAGUCAAAAACUAUGAGGAAAGGAAGCAGCUGUGGCUAUGUUGCUGGAGGUCUAGCCUCUUUACUUGUGGGAAGCCCAUGUUAACUGGCACAAAUGACAUCCUGACAUUGCCGAAAAGGGGUCUUGGCAAUGCCAUCCCCUCAUCUCCAAAUGGCAAGCACACAGAUGUGUCACACAUCAUCUGCAAAUUGAAGGCAAGCCUGGAAGAGAUUUGAUGUUUGUAGAAGGAUUUUCUACAGCAUUUGAGGAAAGGAACCAGGAAGUGUGCACACCAGCAUGAUACCAAGACUAUUCUCAGUACUUUUGCACCUUAAGAUUUUUCUCUAUGGGAAUUGGGUUCAUGCACCUGCAAAGGAGAGCAGCACAGUAAAGUGUACAAACUGCUUGGAAUUCCAUCCCCUUGCUUGUUUGUCUUUCAGGUCUCAAGGCACAGAGGGACUGAGGGAAGACCCUUGGGCUGGCACUUAGCAGUCAUCCAGCAAGGAGUGUGGAGCUGAGUAAUGGCAGGAGACAGAGGCAGAGAGACAAGAAGCCACAAAUCAGCUAGGGAAAGACUCCAUACCAGCCAUGCUUUCUAAACAAGGUGCUUUUUUUGCUACCUGAGUUGAAGCUGAAGCGGCCAGCUCUACAUAUGAAACAUUUAAUCGAUCAUGGUGAUCAAAUGAAGAUGGCGAAUUUCUGCCUCCCUUGCCCCUAAGUGAGGAGAUGGGCACAUUUCCUAGGAUAAUCCAAAAGAAUGUCAGACAUUCUUUACUGAAACCCACAGUCCUAAAAUAUAUUUGAAAGAAC